CUCAGUAACACGUGGAUAAUCUGCCCUUAGGUGGAGGAUAAUCUCGGGAAACUGAGGAUAAUACUCCAUAGAUCUAGAAUGCUGGAAUGCAUCUAGAUUGAAAGCUCCGGCGCCUAAGGAUGAGUCUGCGGACUAUCAGGUUGUAGUCAGGGUAAAGACCUGACUAGCCUACGACGGAUACGGGUUGUGAGAGCAAUAACCCGGAGACGAUAUCUGAGACACGAUAUCGGGCCCUACGGGGCGCAGCAGGCGCGAAAACUUCACACUGUGCGAAAGCGCGAUGAGGGAAUCCCAAGUGUUUGCUCGUAAGAGUAAACUGUUUCUUUGUUUAAAACGCAGAGAGAGUAAGGGCUGGGUAAGACGGGUGCCAGCCGCCGCGGUAAUACCUGCAGCUCAAGUGGUGAUCAUUAUUAUUGGGCCUAAAACGUCCGUAGCCGAUUUAGUAAAUGCCUGGGUAAAUCGUGUAGCUUAACUAUACGACUUCCGGGUAGACUGCUAAACUUGAGACCGGGAGAGGCUAGAGGUACUCCUGGGGUAGAGGUGAAAUUCUGUAAUCCUAGGGGGACCACCAGUGGCGAAGGCGUCUAGCUAGAACGGGUCUGACGGUGAGGGACGAAGCCCUGGGGCACAAACCGGAUUAGAUACCCGGGUAGUCCAGGGUGUAAACGCUGCUUGCUUGAUGUUAGUUGGGCUCCGAGCCCAACUAGUGUCGGAGAGAAGUGUUAUGCGUGCUCCUGGGAAGUACGGUCGCAAGGCUGAACUAAAGG
rnacentral:rRNA from 1 species